rnacentral:rRNA from 1 species
GGUGAACGCUGGCGGUAGGCCUAACACAUGCAAGUCGAACGGCAGCACAGGAGAGCUUGCUCUCUGGGUGGCGAGUGGCGGACGGGUGAGGAAUACAUCGGAAUCUACUCUGUCGUGGGGGAUAACGUAGGGAAACUUACGCUAAUACCGCAUACGACCUACGGGUGAAAGCAGGGGACCUUCGGGCCUUGCGCGAUUGAAUGAGCCGAUGUCGGAUUAGCUAGUUGGCGGGGUAAAGGCCCACCAAGGCGACGAUCCGUAGCUGGUCUGAGAGGAUGAUCAGCCACACUGGAACUGAGACACGGUCCAGACUCCUACGCGAGGCAGCAGUGGGGAAUAUUGGACAAUGGGCGCAAGCCUGAUCCAGCCAUACCGCGUGGGUGAAGAAGGCCUUCGGGUUGUAAAGCCCUUUUGUUGGGAAAGAAAUCCAGCUGGCUAAUACCCGGUUGGGAUGACGGUACCCAAAGAAUAAGCACCGGCUAACUUCGUGCCAGCCGCCGCAGUAA